UGAGGAAUAUUGGUCAAUGGACGGAAGUCUGAACCAGCCAAGUAGCGUGCAGGAAGACGGCCCUAUGGGUUGUAAACUGCUUUUGUAUGGGGAUAAAGUCAAUCACAUGUGAUUGUUUGCAGGUACCAUACGAAUAAGGACCGGCUAAUUCCGUGCCAGCAGCCGCGGUAAUACGGAAGGUUCGGGCGUUAUCCGGAUUUAUUGGGUUUAAAGGGAGCGUAGGCCGGAGAUUAAGUGUGUUGUGAAAUGUAGACGCUCAACGUCUGACUUGCAGCGCAUACUGGUUUCCUUGAGUACGCACAACGUUGGCGGAAUUCGUCGUGUAGCGGUGAAAUGCUUAGAUAUGACGAAGAACUCCGAUUGCGAAGGCAGCUGACGGGAGCGCAACUGACGCUGAAGCUCGAAGGUGCGGGUAUCGAACAGGAUUAGAUACCCUGGUAGUCCGCACAGUAAACGAUGGAUGCCCGCUGUUGGUACCUAGUAUCAGCGGCUAAGCGAAAGCAUUAAGCAUCCCACCUGGGGAGUACGCCGGCAACGGUG
rnacentral:rRNA from 1 species